GUACUCGCUUUGGCAGCACAUAUCUUAAAUUGGAACGAUACAGAAAAGAUUAGCAUAGCCCCUGUGCAAGGAUGACAUGCAAAUUCAUGAGGUGUUCAAUAUUUUU
rnacentral:snRNA from 1 species